UUCGUUCCCUAGUCGCCCCUCUCUCUCUCCGUUUCCCAAUCCUCUCUCUCCCUCCCGAUCUCUGCUCCAUCUCUCUCAUCCUCCUCCCUCUCUCUCCAAUGCAUCUCUGCCGUCUCUUCUAUCUCUCUCCAUUGCAGCAGCCGUGAAGUUCCUACCCGAAGAAACACAUGCUGUGAAGCUCGUCUCCAUAGCUCUGCGGUCCUUUCUACAAGCGGCUGCGAGGCGUCAACCUCUCUUUCUCUCACUGCAUCUCUCCCUCCAAACAUGUCUCUGAUUGCAAACGAAGAUUUCCAGCACAUUCUUCGUGUUUUGAACACGAAUGUGGACGGGAAUCGAGAUCUGAUCUUGUGAUGUUCGGUUGGGGUUCACUGAUUUUGAUAAUUAAUCUUGAUACUGGUAAUAGAUUUUGGAUUUUGUAGAUCUGUUCAUUUGUAUCGGAUUCUCUUUUAUCUUUGCAAUUUCUUAAGUCUAUGUUGAUUUUUUCUUUUGUGAAUUGGGUUUUACAGGUUAGUGAUUUGGGGAAUCUGAUCGGAUCGUAUGCUCAAUGGCACUCUUGUUUGCUCCCUUACUAUUCGUUUGAUCAGUUCAUACACAAGGUGGAACAAGUAGGUGCCACCAAGCGUGUACAGGAUGUGCAAGCCUGUAGGCGAAUUUUAAUUGACUUUUCUGUUUGACCUUGAGGGAGGCCAAUUGCCAAUAAAAGACUCCCAUGAUGGUUUGGAAGGUGAAUUAUGGAUGAAUUUGGAUGAUGACCUCUCUCCCAUAUGUCUGAAUAUCUUGCCAUUACUUUCCUCUUCCUCACAGUUGUCUUCAUCCUCUUUCCAGAUUCUUCCUGCUAACUUUCUAUUACUCUCUGCUUGCCAGGUUCCCUACUUUGGCGGGCUAGGAAUGUGAUGUUGGGUUCGGUCUUGGGAGCGGCAUUUUGUUUCCCUCUUGAAAAUGAAUUUUUGCUGAAACAGGUAUGUGAUCGGGUGAUUGUGAUGUGGUUUUCAUCAUCUUUGAAUGAUAUGUUGUGCAAUUAUCAAUAGCUAUCAGCUGAGUUUUUUUUGCUCUUUCAUUGGGAGAGUUUGGAGAGCGAGAAGAGGACCCCAUCAUCAUCUAGCAUGGGGCUUUUUGGAUUGACCUAAGGUGGCAACCAUCAGAAACCAUCUUCCUAGCGGAUUGGUGGUUCAUUCUAUAUCAGAUUGAAUGCUUCUUCUAGAAAGGUUCUAGUUCAUGGUUGGACAGAGGCGACAGAGCAUUUGAAACAGUACUGCUCAAAAAAUGUUUGCCCUCAUGUAUAUGCUUCCCAGAUCGAAGAGACAAUCGACGUCUAAUCAGAUCUGUGUGCCUAUAAGCGUUCUUUUACUGCGAUAUAGAUGGGAGUUCCCUUUGAUUGCACUGUGACAUGACUGUACAUGUUGGAGGUAAAAGAACCCAUGGAAGAUAUCUACUGUUGAGGCAGAGGGUUGAGUUUCUAGGGGACAAACCCAUUCCUUUGGAAGAGUAGGCCUUGCAACCUACAGAACCAGUUUAGUUGGCAACAGACUCAGCUGCCUAAAUUGACAACGAAUGAGAAACUGCAAAACCACAGGGUCUCUCCUGUUCCAGUGCUAGACGCUAACACAGAAGAUCCGGGCAAGAUCGCCUCUACAAUGAUUGAUCUCAACUCGAGGCCAAACCGGAUUCAUGGGCAGCCUUCAAAUACACAGGGGAUGAAUGCUUUAAGCGAUAGCAAUCAUGAGUGUGCAAGCGUAGUUCCAGUGGGAUCUUGCAAUCAAGAUCUAGAGAAGUAAGCAAGGUGGAUUCUAUUCUUCUCAUUUAUGCUAGUUCACUGGUCUUUUUGUUUAACCAUUUCUUGGUUAAAGGAAGAAAAAGAAAAAGA